CUUACUAUUAGUGAAUGACAGGAUAAUACAGCUUAUUAGCGCACCUCAUCAACGCUUCUUCAUUUUUCAGGCACCGAGUUCUUGAGUCUAACCCUAGAGUCACUGCUCACAACUGAAAAAACCCCCAAUUCUCUAUCUUCCUCUCUCAUCUAUUCACUUUCUCCAUCAAUCUGCCUCUGCAAUCGUCACCAUCGCUCAUAUCGCCGGAUUCCUUGUACACCGACGCCGGCGCAAAUUCCUCUAUAUAUUGUCCUUCCAGCAAAAUGAUGUUGAUUGUGGAUAAGAUGUGAUGCAAUUCAGGAAAAAAAUCAAUUCACAUAAGCCCCUUAAACUUCUUGAACUUGUAACUUUGUAAGUCUUCACUCUCUAGGUUUAUGUGAUUAUUUGUUUCAACUUCUUGGAUUAGGUGAAGUUAUGGGUUUGCGCGGGUGAUGGUGCGUGUUGGCAGGCGGUGGUGCGUGUGGGUAUUGGCAGUAGUGCCAGUUUGGUGGUGAACAGACUAUUGUAAGUGAAUUGGACUCCUAGUGAUAGUGAAUGUGAAGAAUUAGACUGGGAAGAAGAGCAUAUUAGGUGACAUCCAAUGACACUGGUGUUUGUAUUCAACCACGGCUACAACCAUUAGGGAACGAGAGUUUGAAGGAAUGAGGAAUCAAAUCGAGGAAUACACAUCAUAGAGGCAGAGGAGCAUAACCUUGCAAUCAGGGAAUAAGAAGCAAAUGCCACCUUGAAGGGACAAUAUAUGGAUAAACUUGAGGAAUAUAAAAAGGAGUUGAGAUAAACCCCGACAAAGUCUACUUGAAGGUUGUAGGUGGGCAAAAGAAUAGAAAAGUUUAUGGUUUAGGGAGUGCUUCACAAAUUUACUACAAGAACGAUCCUACUUCUCACCUUACUGCAUAAUGUAUAUCAUCAUUAGUUCUUAUUUGUCAUGUUAGAGUUGAUUUUUGAAACAAUUAGUGUUAUGGUUACUAAUAUUGUUUUUUAAUAUAUUGAUACAAAAUUGAUGAUGAUAUUUUGGAUAUUUGAAUAAAAUUAACAUUUUGGUUAUUUGAAUAU